rnacentral:rRNA from 2 species
UCAUCUUCGGGGGUAGAGCACUGUUUCGGCUAGGGGGUCAUCCCGACUUACCAACCCGAUGCAAACUACGAAUACCGAAGAAUGUUAUCACGGGAGACACACGGCGGGUGCUAACGUCCGUCGUGAAGAGGGAAACAACCCAGACCGCCAGCUAAGGUCCCAAAGUCAUGGUUAAGUGGGAAACGAUGUGGGAAGGCACAGACAGCCAGGAUGUUGGCUUAGAAGCAGCCAUCAUUUAAAGAAAGCGUAAUAGCUCACUGGUCGAGUCGGCCUGCGCGGAAGAUGUAACGGGGCUAAACCAUGCACCGAAGCUGCGGCAGCGACACUAUGUGUUGUUGGGUAGGGGAGCG